GGGCCGCACCCACGGCAUAUGGAGGUUCCUAGGCUAGGAGUCAAAUCGGAGCUGUAGCUGCCAGCCCACACCACAGCCACAGUGAUGCCAGAUCUGAGGUGCAUCUGUGACUUAUGUCACAGCUUGUGGCAACAGAAGAUCCUUAACCCACUGAGCGAGACCAGGGAUCAAACCCACAACCUCAUGGUUCCCAGUUGGAUUCGUUUCUGCUGUGCCAUGACAAGAACUCCAGCUUUAUUCUUUAAAUUAAAAUAAUCCAUCUUGAAUUUGUUUUAUGGAAACGGGUAAGUUUCUAACUUUAUUUUAUAAGCUAGUAGCCUAUUGCCUUCAUUUGUUCCAUAGUCCAGCCUUUCUCCACUGAUAAGAAAAGCUGCCUUGAUUUCAAACUAAACUAUUUUAUUUUAUUUAAAAAAAAAUUUUUUUAGGGGCAUACGGAAGUUCCCAGCCUAGGGGUCGAAUUGGAGCUACAUCUGCACCGACCUACACCACAGCUCAGGGCAAUGCUGGACCCUCGACCCACUAAGGGAGGCCAGCGAUCGAACCAACAUCCUUGUAGAUACUAGUCGGAUUUGUUUCCACUGUGCCACAAUGGGAAUUCCUCAAAAUAAACUAUUUUAUACCUUUGUGUACAUUACUGAAUUUCCAUUCUGUUACUAUGACUUUUUGUUUUGUGCUGUUAUUUCUGCUUUACCUUAUUUCAGUUUUACUGUCUGGUAGGUGAUAGCUGUUAUCAUCACCUUUAUUUGAAACACUGUAGCUACUAUAUUUACAUGAACUAUAGGAUAAUUUUGUUAAGUUUAAACAUGUUCUCUUUGGGUUUUAUUUGGGAUAUAUAGGGUUUUUAAGUUUUCAUUUUCCAAUUUUUUACAGCUCUUUAAUAGAAAUACAAUUUUAUAGAUUGCCUUUGUAUUAAUUCACUUAUUAGUUUUAAUAGUUUGCUACAGAUUCUUUGGGGAUUUCAACAAUACAAUUAUGAGAGCUGCAAAUAAAGAGUUUUACUUCUCCCUUUUCACUUUUUAAGGACUUUUAUUUAUUUUUCCUUUGGAAAAGACUUCCAAAUAAUCUCUCUGUAGACUGAUGGACCUAAUUCAAGUCAUAUGUAAAAUGAUCUAUAAAAAGUGUCAGGUCAGGACCCAGAAGCCUUAGUUGGAAAGGAUACUGGAUAAUUUAAUUGAAGCAACAUGAAUAUGAUUUCUCACCUAAUAUCCCUGUUGAUAUAAUACAUUUACCUGCACAAAAUGUAUAUAACACACCCACGCAUAAUAAAUAUGCACAUCAGCAACACACCGUGAAUCACCUUCACAGAAAAUGCAAGAAAAUCAUACUUGAAGGAAAACUUUUGUUAAAUUACGAAAAAUCUCAAGAGCUUGAAUUAGAGGUCUCAAAACAAACUUUGCUUACAUCAAACUUUGCUUCUUUAUCUUUUGGGGCUUUGUGGAAAGCAAUUUUCCCUGUAUUUAUCCACCUAAGCCCAGACAAGAUAAGGGCAGGGUUCCUAUCUUCUUCCUACUCUGUAGUUUGCCAGUUCGGUGUUCCAUGAGUGUUCCUUGAGUGAGUGGAUGCAUUAGUAAAUGAAGAGUGAAGGAGUGGAAUUAUGGAUGAGAGAAGUCAGCCCUAAUCUUUGGUUCUUUUUGACAAUCCACCCACCUUUUUUUUUUUUUGCUUUUUAGGGCCACACACUCAUUGCAUUUGGAGGUUCCCAGGCUAGGGGUCGAAUCAGAGCUGUAGCUGCCAGCCUGUGCCACAGCCACACUCUGAUUCGCCCCCUAGCCUGGGAACUUCCAUGUGCUACAGGGGUUGCCCUAAAAAGAAAAAAAAAAAAAAAAAAAAAAAAAUGACCAGAGCAAUCUCUCUCCCCCGACCACUUCAGUCCCACUUCUCAGAGGUUGCCAAUGGGAACAGCCAAACAAUGAAGUAGGAGAUGUGGAGGUUGGACAGAAUUAGACUUUUGUCAAAAGCUGAAUUUGGUUGUACCGAUCUCUGUGUAUACCCGGUAUAGUUAUGGUCAGGGAAGAAAUGCCAUAAUUAUUAUCCAGCUUCAGUGAGCUUCAGUCUACCAUCUGUUAUCUCUGGGAGGGAAGCAAAAGAGGCCCCUCUACUCAUUGCCCUCCACCUAUUUUGGGGCAAGUGCUUCCACUCUCUGUCCACAUUCAACACUCCUGCCCACGUCUACCAGCCCUCCACCCCUCGCAUGAAUAGUUUACUCACGGAUCCACGUACAUGUCCAUCCCGGUAAACAACUUCCCUAGACCCUACAGUGCCCAGUACAGUGUUUUUCAAAAAGUGGGCCCUUGGAACAAUAUUUGCUAGAUGCACAAAAUAAAGGAGGAAAUGAGGAGAGGGACAGACAUAAAAGAUGAGAUGCAGCUAAUACCAAAUAUUACAUUCGGCAAGGCUUAGUAUAUAUACAUUAAAUUACACUGGAUUGCUUUCUAGUAAUUACAGCUCUGGGCUUAAAAUGGUUUUUAGAGACGCAUUAGAAAUUCCUACUUUAGCUUAAUCAUAAUGUUUAGUUUUCC
rnacentral:lncRNA from 1 species